CUACUACUCCCUCCGUCUGAAAAUACUUGUCAUUGAAAUGGAUGUAUCUAGAUGUAUUUUAGUUCUAGACACAUCCAUUUUGAUGACAAGUAAUUCUGGACGGAGGGAAUAUUAU
rnacentral:pre_miRNA from 1 species